AAUUAGAUGAUCUCUAACGUGUAGCAAUUUGGUUGCACUAGAAUUUUAUUUGCUGGCAUUGGUUUUCUUGCUAACACAUGUUUGUUAGGAGCAAAGUUAUCAAUCCCGUACCGGCAAGCAUACGAUUAUCUCUACUGGAACGUUACAUAUUGGUACAGGUGUAUAUCUCUCGGUACCGUUCCGGAUUGACCGUAAUAUAUAUUUUAUCUAGUUUUAUAUAUGUAAAAAAACCCAAAAAAACUCAAAAGUAAAGAUAUAAACUAAAUUCUAACACUUUGAUAUACCUUAAAAUUGGUCCUAAUAAUAAAUUAAGAUGAUUAACAUAUAGACUCCAAGUUUUGUUGAAUUAUUUUAAAAUUCAAGCAUUUUUUAUGCAAAAGAAAAAAUGCACAAUUUUUUUUUCCCGUCCAAGAUUUUGGUAAAAAUCCAAUAUCUACCGGUACAGACCAAUAUCUAGGACGGUAUGGAAUACCUACUUAUGCAUACCGUUUUAUGUCCAGUCCGGUAUGUACUGGCUGGUAGGGUUCGAAAUUGACAACAUUGGUCAGGAGUUAUCAUAUUUGCUCAAUGUCUCAUAUUUGCUUAGUGUCUGAAAAUUUUAUUAAAGUUGGUACUUGGUCUGCUGGCUAUUCAUUUCAUGGUAAAAGUCUGUUUAAAGGGAAAUGCUACAAGAGCUUUUUGGCAAAAAUGAACAUAUUAAAAAAACAAAAAAAGCUAAAAGCAUGAAACCGUUCCUUUUUGAGUUUUUCUAACCUCAAAAUAGGAGUACUGAGUGGAUCCUUGAUUUCUUAUUCAACUUACAAGUGCCAAUUUAAUCAUUGAUUUGUUGCCUCGUUUGGUUUUGGAGCAUGUGGACUCGAUGUUACCUUGGUUUAAUACAGUCAAAGUUGACGUACUAGAUCUGAAACAUAUUUGUUGGCUCGAAUCGAUGUUGCCUCGGUCUAGUAUGUAUCAAAGCUUACGUAUUAGAUCCAUUAAGUAUUUGUUGCCUCAAAUCAAUAUUGCCCUAGUUUAAAGAAUUGGUCAAUUUUAUAGAUCCAAAAAUUUGUGUAUUGCUUCGGUUGGAAAUAAAAGGACCAUGUUUAGACUUAAAAAAAUGGUUCCUACUUUCUAAUAGUGUAUGAUUGCUGACCACACGAGAAAGACACAUGAUGGUUAGUCGGUGUUUAGACUACUAUGUGAAGUAAAAAUAGUGAUAAACUCAUGAUGGUUAGUAUGUGUUUAGGCUAUUAGUUAUGUGAGGAAAAAUGUGAUUUCUAGUAGGUGUAGAAACUACUGAUAAGUACGUGAUAGGAAUUCUGAAAGUGUGCAUUUCAAUUAUAAAAUCAGGAAACAGUGGUUCCUAGUAGGUUAAUAAGUCUACUUGCCACUAUUUGCCACAAUAUGUGUAAACACCAAAUUUUGCCCCACCCUUUGUUUCACUACUCUAUGGAACAAGAACAUCAGCCCUUAUCAUGUUGAUGUAAUCGAUACCAAAAAGGAGUGCGCAGGUCCCGAUAAGUACAAAAACAACAUCGAAUGGACGAGGUUUUCUCACGAAGAUUCACAUGGUCAUUUCAUUUGGUAAGUAUCAUAAACCAUCUGCAUAUGCAUAGCCUAGCGAUGAGGCAUGCCAUUUCUGGACUAAAAUAAUCUCCUCUCUGGCUAACGGUCAGAAAGUGGGUCUUGAUAACCCUAAUCUGGGCCAAAAAAUCAGAAUAUACUUUGGAACAUCCAAACCAAUAUCGGCACCGUCACAUGUGCUUAUUUUGUCGUUCAUAGGUGAUGUGCCAAGUCUUGUCGCCAUUCAAUGGCGUUUCACCAUUGGAUUGUCACCAGGCCUUUAUUGCCUACCGAUAAAGCACCUGAUUUGAACUCAAAAUAUCUUGAUCAAGCCAAAUCUUUUCUAGACCCCACCAAACAUCAUGCACAGUUAUAUUAUGGUAUUUUAAGGUCUCCAGACAAGUUUAGUGUCAUGUCAAACGGGGCUCGUUUGAUAUUUUUGCACCCCGCGUUUUUCAAAGCUGGUAGUAUUUUGUUCUUGUCAAUCCAGCCGUACCAGAAUUAAUUCUUAUGAGAAAAAUACAUGACGGUUAGUAGGUGUUUAGACUACUAGUCAUGUGUGAAGGAAAAAUAGUGGUAAACACAUGAUGAUUAGUAGGUGUUUGGACUACUAGUCAUGUGAAAAACAAAUAGUGAUUCCUUGUAGUUGUAAAGACUACUGAUCACUAGGUGAUAAGAGCUCUGAAAGUGUAGAUUCGAAGUAACGCCGGUUUAAUAUCGAAUAAAGUUUACAUUUUUUACACGAAACGUACUUGUUGCCUCGAAUCAAUGUUGUGUCCAUUUAAUGUGAAUCAUAGCAUACAUAGUAGAUGCAAUGAGUAUUUGUUGCCUUGAAACAGUGUCACCAUCAUUGCAAGAAUUGUUUCAAUUUUAUUGAUCUAGAAAUUUGUGUGUUGCUUCGGUGGGAAAUAAAAGAACUAUGUUUACUUGAUGAGAUGGAAAUAAAGAAGUGGUUCCUACUUUCUAGUAGCGUACGACUACUGUCUACACGAGAAAAAUACAUGAUAGCUAGUAGGUGUUUAGACUACUAGUCAUGUGUGAAGGAAAAAUAGUGGUAAACACAUGAUGGUUGGUAGGUGUUUGGACUACUAGUCAUGUGAAAGAAAAAUAGUGAUUCCUAGUAGGUGUAAAGACUACUAAUCAUUAAGUGAUAAAAACUUUGAAAGUGUUGAUUCUUAGUAUCGCCGGUUCAAUAUCGAUCAAAGUUUACGUACUAGACGCGAAACGUACUUGUUGCCUAUAAUCAUUGUUGUAUCGGUGUCGAUCUAAUAUUAAUCAUAGCUUAUAUACUAGAUUCAAUGAGUAUUUGUUGCCUCAAUUCAAUGUUACCAUCAUUGAAAGAAUUGUUUGAAUUUUAAUGAUCCAGAAACUUAUGUGUUGCUUUGGUUGGAAAUGAAAGGACCAUGUUUGCUUGAUAAGAUGGAAAUAAAGAAGUGGUUCCUACUUUCUAGUAGUGUACGACUUCUGUCCACACGAGAAAAAUACAUGAAGGUGUUGGUAGGUGUUUAGACUACUAGUCAUGCGUGAAGGAAAAA